UUCUAAGUCAGUUUUUCACUUUGCCAACUUUUUUCUUCUCUCUCUAAAAACUCAUCUUCUAAAUAUUGUUCUGCCUUCUCUCUAAAAUACCACCCUGUUGAACCGUUCAAUUUUUGAAUAGGUGGUGCUCAAACCUUCACCGCGUCAAGGGCUGCGUAACGGACCGAACGGGUUCUUGUUCCAACCGGGUGUCUUUGAAUUUUGCUGUGAGGAGCACUAUUUAGAUCAUCUCUGUCAAGUAAACUGUGAAGUUUUCCAGGUAAGGGGAGCUAAUUAUUUUUGUAUGAAUUUAUUUUAUACAAAUAUAUGCAGGUUGAAUGUUGAACUGGUGUGUUCUUGUGAAGUUGUUCUGAUUCGAUUGAUGAUAAAGAAAAAGAAUUCUUGGUUCAGUUUUCUACCUUAACAACAGAAAAAAGGAUGUUAAUUUUUAUUGGAUAAUUAUAACUGAGAUGUGGAAUUGUGCUUAAAUAAUUUAUGCUUUGGUGUUGAACUGAUACAUGUGGCAAUUAUGUUUGUAAGUGUCUCUGUUGAAAUUAAUCUGUUUUGGUUGAAAUUGUUCUGGUUGGAGGGUUUGGAGUAAGGGCUCUGUGAUAGCAUGUAUAUGGGCAGAUACAAGUUACUAUGAGGGGAAGGGUGAUAUAUAUAAUUGAGUAUUUGAUGUCUAGAACUGUAGGACAGUUUUAAUAACUUAGAUAAUUAAAUCAUAACUUGUUAAAAGCCUUUCUUUGUUGGUAGGAUAGAGGGGACUUAAAAACCUGAGUUGACACAUUCCUGAUCAUAGAGCAGUCCUGGCCUGGUCCAAUACGUUGUGACUAGUCAUAUGUGCUAGCGCCGAAGAUGUUGUUGAGGAGGUUCCAUUGGACCAAGAGUUGGAGGAUGCUGAUGAUGCAGUAUAAUAUUUUUAGGAUUUCUAAAUUUAAGUUGGUGUUAUUUUGAAGUACUCUAAACUGUUUAAAUUUUAAGUUUUGUCCUUUUGUGAUGAUUGUAAUAUCAGCUACUGAACUACUAUUCUACCCUAAUUGUUCUCUUUAUUAGAACGUGGACACCUAAGUUAUAUGAUUGUGGUUAUUAUAUA